GACGAACGCUGGCGGCGUGCUUAACACAUGCAAGUCGAACGGAAAGGCCCUGCUUUUGUGGGGUGCUCGAGUGGCGAACGGGUGAGUAACACGUGAGUAACCUGCCCUUGACUUUGGGAUAACUUCAGGAAACUGGGGCUAAUACCGGAUAGGAGCUCCUGCUGCAUGGUGGGGGUUGGAAAGUUUCGGCGGUUGGGGAUGGACUCGCGGCUUAUCAGCUUGUUGGUGGGGUAGUGGCUUACCAAGGCUUUGACGGGUAGCCGGCCUGAGAGGGUGACCGGGCACAUUGGGACUGAGAGACGGCCCAGAAUCCUACGGGAGGCAGCAGUGGGGAAUAUUGCACAAUGGGCGGAAGCCUGAUGCAGAAACGCCGCGUGCGGGAUGACGGCCUUCGGGUUGUAAACCGCUUUCGCCUGUGACGAAGAGUGAGUGACGGUAAUGGGUAAAGAAGCACCGGCUAACUACGUG
rnacentral:rRNA from 1 species